GAUGAACGCUGGCGGCGUGCCUAAUACAUGCAAGUCGAGCGAACAGACGAGAAGCUUGCUUCUCUGAUGUUAGCGGCGGACGGGUGAGUAACACGUGGAUAACCUACCUAUAAGACUGGGAUAACUUCGGGAAACCGUAGCUAAUACCGGAUAAUAUUUUGAACCGCAUGGUUCAAAAGUGAAAGACGGUCUUGCUGUCACUUAUAGAUGGAUCCGAGCUGCAUUAGCUAGUUGGUAAGGUAACGGCUUACCAAGGCAACGAUGCAUAGCCGACCUGAGAGGGUGAUAGGCCACAUGGGAACUUAGACACGGUCCAGACUCCUACGGGAGGCAGCAGUAGGGAAUCUGACGCAAUGGGGGAAAGCAUGACGGAGCAACGCCGCGUGAGUGAUGAAGGUCUUCGGAUCGUAAAAAUCUGUUAUUAGGGAAGAACAUAUGUGGAAGUAACUGUGCACAUCUUGACGGUACCUAAUAAGAAAGCCACGGCUAACUACGUG
rnacentral:rRNA from 1 species